UACGUAGGGUGCGAGCGUUGUCCGGAAUUAUUGGGCGUAAAGAGCUCGUAGGCGGUCUGUCGCGUCAAUCGUGAAAACUUGGGGCUUAACCCUGAGCUUGCGGUCGAUACGGGCAUGACUGGAGUUCGGCAGGGGAGACUGGAAUUCCUGGUGUAGCGGUGAAAUGCGUAGAUAUCUGGAGGAAUACCGGUGGCGAAGGCGGCAUCCUGGACCGGCAUUGACGCUGAGGAGCGAAAGCUAGGGGAGCAAACGGG
rnacentral:rRNA from 1 species